GUAAGCAGAACGAUCUCCAAUGUGCAAAUGAAGAAAUGGAGUCUGAGGUUAAGGUGCUUGCCCAAGAUUACACAGGUGCUUCUUGAUCACUGUGACAUGUGAUGACACUCUAACUCUCUGGUUAAGUGGGGUGAAGCAGAGAGCACGAGAAGGCCAGACAACAGGCCAAGAGAAAAAAAAUCACCCCUGGAAAGGGGGUUUUAGUAAAGGACUUUCAACAAACUAAAUGGGUUUUCUUAAAGCCUAGGGAUUCCAUAAUAACUUUUGAAGACACACUGUCUCAAAGCACUGUCUAAUUCUACCACAAUCCAUCGUGAAGGGGAUAAUUUACCUCUUCUUGUAGGCCUCUGGCUAUGUCUUUCUCUUGUAUUAGAUCCUUCAGUGGCUCUUAGAAUUGGACCCUUACCUCGUUUUCUGGGCUCAUAUCUACCAUCUUCCCCCAGUGCAGUGGUUCUCAGCCACGGGUAUUUUUGUUCCCCUAAGGGACACUGGCCAAUGUUGGGGAAAGUUUUUGGUUGGCUGGACUGAAGUGGGGGAAAGGGGAUGCUACUUAACAUCCUUCAAAGUGGAAGACAGCCUCUCACUACAAAGAAUUACUCAGCUCAAAUGUUAACAGUGUUGAGAUAUCCUGCUGUACCAAGUUCUUCUUUCUCCAAACACAC